rnacentral:rRNA from 1 species
UACGUAGGGAGCAAGCGUUGUCCGGAAUCAUUGGGCGUAAAGCGCGCGUAGGUGGCUUCGUAAGUCCGUUGUGAAAGUCAAAGGCUCAACCUUUGAAAGCCGAUGGAUACUGUGAAGCUAGAGUACGGAAGAGGCGAGUGGAAUUCCUGGUGUAGCGGUGGAAUGCGCAGAUAUCAGGAGGAACACCAAUAGCGAAGGCAGCUCGCUGGGACGUUACUGACACUGAGGCGCGAAGGCGUGGGGAGCGAACGGG